CUGUACUUCCGCCCGCGCUGCAAGAGCGGAGCUUCCUGGUGGUGUGGCGGCUGGGUCGGGGUGCCUCGCGGUUCCGACCCAUCUCCCGGCAUCUGCAGCCAUCGCGUGUUUUCCCGCUCUGUCUGCCGGGUCUCCGCCGCCGCUCGACGCCAGGGCGCCGGGAGGAGGCAUCUUGGUGCAGAGGGACCCGUGAGAGGUGUCUCAGUCCUGCCAGGAAGCAGUUGGACCAUGGUACUCCUGGGGUGAGUUCUGUCCUCUGGCGAUCGGGGCUUUGUGUCCCACGAGGGUGCGUGCAGGUUCCCUGGGCAUGAUGUAGUCUGGGAAGGAGGUAGAGACGAAAUGAGGUGGCUUUGUCCUGGCCUCCAGUGUUACCCUCUUUGGGGUCAUCAGGAAUGCAUUUCAUUUUUCUUUAUGUACCUUCUGGAGUGUAGAGUCUUUGGGGACCUUUACAUGGGUGUGUCAGCAGCAGAAUUUCUGAAUUGGAGGCAGGAGGGAUUUUGGCAUCAAAUUCACCUGUACCCAGGUCUCAAUCACUUCACUGUCACCUCCUAGCUUUGGGACCUUCUCUGAUCCUCGGUUUCCUCAUCUGGAAAAGAGAAAUGCAGUGAGGAGUGUCACAUGAUGCUGCUCCAUGUACAUCAUGAGAGGUGUCCUCAGGGAGAGCAUGGAUUGUGAGGUCCCAGGUCUCAGCCUUAGAUGCAGAGACUAUGCAAGGAAGUCCCAAGGCCUUGGAGUCAGUGACCCUUGGGAUGACCUAGCCCUCUGGGUUUGCCGAUAAUUUUUACCAUGAAUCUCUUGGGGGUGUUCAUGGACACCAGAGGGGCAGAGAAUGGAGUCUGAGGUUGCCACGUGAAGUGUCACCAGAGCCUCUCCCUGCUGCCUGCUCAGAGCAUCAUGGAACAGCUGUACACUCUGCACAAGAAUUGGCAUCUGGACAUGGGAGACCUCAGCUAGCUCUGAGCUUUGACAGCAGUGUCUCCCACAGGGCCGUGAACAGGGAAGGCCAGCCCCAUGUCCCCCUGCCUGCACCUGCGAUGAUUUUUUAGUAACUAAGACUUUUUGUUUUGAAUUUGUAGCUGUUAACAGCCGUUUAAUAAACCUUACAGACUUGC